GACGCAGCAGUCCCCGCAGGCUUUUGAGACACACAUUAGGAGAGGACUCUGCCCGCUGUCUGUCUCACAAUCUGCUCGAAAUAUCUUGGUCAGGAAUCUCAGGAUGUCUAGUGACCCCGAGUGAGGUGCUGCCUUUUAUUCCUGAGCAUCUUUGGAAGCAGGAAGCAGGGAGCAACGGUAGCGAGAGGUAUUCGGAUCUGAGUAUCAGCAGGAAGAAGAAACAGAGGAAGAAGUCCCCCAUAAGGAAGGCGUGAGGAGCGCAGGAAGCGCUGUUUCCCUGCCUGAGAUCUUUAUUCUACUAGGUCUUUAUUCUACGUAGCCGAUACGCUGUAAAAUUCUGGAAGAGAAGGCUAGGGGUUUAAGGUUGGUAAUCUCUCAGAAGAUCUGCGUCUCGGUGACGGAAAGAACUAAGGGUAAGUGCUGAGAAGCCUCUCUUUACAGCCAGAGAACGAGCCAGAGCCGAGCUUGAGAAUGACGGGAUAGAUCUAGCAGUUAUGCCCAAGGAAGACCCUCGGCCCUUUGAAUUUGAAGGCACUGAAAAUCGUAUAAAUGUUUUCAUAUAAACGUAUGCAUCUUUGAUAUAAAUAACAAAAUGGCUUUUAGCACAAAUUUUGUUUUGGAAAUUUUGAAAAACGUCUUAAUAAGAGGAAUGUUUACUCUUAAGUCUGCAGUAGAUUUUGAACACCGGCAGUAACUGUACAAAUAUAUCAGAUUAGUUUUAAUAGCCAUCUCCCCUUCCCCUACAAGUAAAGGAGAGUACUACAGCAGUAUGUACUCUGAAUUGCUGCUAUUGAAGAACCCCUGAGCCUGUGCAGCGUGGCACUCCUGUGGUCCCCAUUACUCAGGAGGCUGAGGCAGGAGGAUUGCUUGAUGCCAGCUAGAGGCUGCAGUGCACUAUGAGAACACCUGUGAAUAGCCACUGCAUUCCAGCCUGAGUAACAUGGCCAGACCCCAUCUCUUAAGAAAAGAAAAGAAACCCUGAACCAGAGGAGCAGAGCUGCCACCACUUAGUGGUGGGGAUGGGGCAGAACAGCUCAGGGCAAGACACAGGCCUUGGAUGCCAAUGCCAGCCGUCAGAUAUUGAGCAAUGUGUAAGUGGGGUUAGCCUGCAGGAGAACCUGCUCGCCACCUCCUCCUCUUCAUUCUUUAGGUGAUCCCCAUUGACCUAGACAAUAUCUUUAAUAUAGAGUUCUCCUGAUUUUUCUACACAAUUUUACAGGGCAUACAGAAUAUAUUUCCUGUCCAAUAAUGACAGAAAUACUUGAUUUUGAAGAGUAACAGUUAUAGCUUGGAAUAGAAGACUGGAGGCAGUUUGAGGGCCGACUUCAGAGUCCUGGUUGAAAUGAAGGUUGAGAAGUAUAAUGCAGUCAGUGCAGGUGACUUUCAGCUGGGUAUCUAGUCCUAUCAGAGGUAAAAACUGUGGUUGCCCUAACCAAAACAAUAGGACUAAGAGACCUUAAAUGAAAGAUGAAAGUUAUUAUAGAGAGAAAUGAUCAUACUGGCAAACAAUUCACCUCCAAGAAUUAUGAUGUGACUCUUUGUCAGAUACUCACAGAUGGAAUUCUAAACUGGUAGCAGACCCUGAAGGACAAUGUCACCAUCAGAACCACCAACAAGGACAAACUGUCCCUCUCCUGCAUCACCCUGCAUACCAUCUGCAUCCACAAAAAUGCUCAUUCUUCAACAAGCCUCCUAUUUCUUUUGGGUGACUGGGAACACUGCCCAGCACCUCCAUCACAUGCUUUAGCGCUUCCCACCCUAACUUAGGGUCCCAUA
rnacentral:lncRNA from 10 species